rnacentral:rRNA from 1 species
UACGUAGGGCGCAAGCGUUAUCCGGAAUUAUUGGGCGUAAAGGGCUCGUAGGCGGUUUGUCGCGUCGGGAGUGAAAUCCAGCAGCUUAACUGCUGGCCUGCUUUCGAUACGGGCAGACUGGAGGCAUUCAGGGGAGAACGGAAUUCCUGGUGUAGCGGUGAAAUGCGCAGAUAUCAGGAGGAACACCGGUGGCGAAGGCGGUUCUCUGGGAAUGUCCUGACGCUGAGGAGCGAAAGUGUGGGGAGCGAACAGG